rnacentral:rRNA from 1 species
AGUGAACGCUGGCGGUAGGCCUAACACAUGCAAGUCGAACGGCAGCACAGUAAGAGCUUGCUCUUACGGGUGGCGAGUGGCGGACGGGUGAGGAAUACAUCGGAAUCUACUUUUUCGUGGGGGAUAACGUAGGGAAACUUACGCUAAUACCGCAUACGACCUACGGGUGAAAGCAGGGGGUCUUCGGACCUUGCGCGAUUGAAUGAGCCGAUGUCGGAUUAGCUAGUUGGCGGGGUAAAGGCCCACCAAGGUGACGAUCCGUAGCUGGUCUGAGAGGAUGAUCAGCCACACUGGAACUGAGACACGGUCCAGACUCCUACGGGAGGCAGCAGUGGGGAAUAUUGGACAAUGGGCGCAAGCCUGAUCCAGCCAUACCGCGUGGGUGAAGAAGGCCUUCGGGUUGUAAAGCCCUUUUGUUGGGAAAGAAAAGCAGCAGGUUAAUACCCCGCUGUUCUGACGGUACCCAAAGAAUAAGCACCGGCUAACUUCGUG